rnacentral:rRNA from 1 species
AGAUAAUAGAUACCCUGGUAGUCCAUGCCGUAAACGUUGGGAACUAGGUGUGGGUCUCAUUCCACGAGAUCCGUGCCGCAGCUAACGCAUUAAGUUCCCCGCCUGGGGAGUACGGCCGCAAGGCUAAAACUCAAAGGAAUUGACGGGGGCCCGCACAAGCGGCGGAGCAUGCGGAUUAAUUCGAUGCAACGCGAAGAACCUUACCAAGGCUUGACAUACACCGGAAUCACUCAGAGAUGGGUGCGUCUUCGGACUGGUGUACAGGUGGUGCAUGGUUGUCGUCAGCUCGUGUCGUGAGAUGUUGGGUUAAGUCCCGCAACGAGCGCAACCCUCGUUCUAUGUUGCCAGCACGUCAUGGUGGGGACUCAUAGGAGACUGCCGGGGUUCAACUCGGAGGAAGGUGGGGAUGACGUCAAAUCAUCAUGCCCCGUUAUGUCUUGGGCUUCACGCAUGCUACAAUGGCCGGUACAAAGGGCUGCGAAACCGCGAGGUGGAGCGAAU